ensembl:lincRNA
CAAGGAAGGAAAAGAGCAAGCUCAGCUUCCAGCAGGGCCGCACCUAAACCUUCUUUCCCUCCCCACACAGGCUUCACCAGGACUGAGGGGGCAGGAGCAGCUCACUGUGCAGACCCCAAGCUGUACUGGAAGAUAUCCACUGGGACCUGGAAUACUGAGUGGAGACUAUUGUACCCAGGACUGCAUGGAAUGCAAACAGAGUUAAAUUUCAAGGAGCAAAUCCAACUGGGUAAAACAUUGCUGGGAUGUGUACAGCAGAAUCUCCGAUCAGCUGAGUCUCCUUCAGGCAGGUGCUGUGGAUCUCAGCAGGUGCAGUUCAGAAGCCCAGAGUCAGACAUCACUGCUCGGGAGAUCCGGACACAGCAAGCUGAGCACCAGUCCUAGAGCAGGAGCUCUUAGGUGUGGACUUGGCUUUGCCACAUUCCAGAAGCAAUCACCUCAUUGGAACCAGAUUGCUCCCUCAAACAAUAAGGACUUUUCCGGAGCCACCUCAAAGCAUCAGAAUGGAGAUAAUUAUCGGGCAGACCCAAGCCCACUCCACCAGCCCCGUAAAAAUUUGUCCCUGUCCUUUGUCACCAACCAGGCUGUUAGUGCCAUGUCCCCUUCAACUCUUCACCAAAGCUUAAGUCCCUCCCUCAAUUUGUCUUACUUUCUAAUUAAAGCUUUGC